CAGCGCCAUGCUGUGAGGAAGCCCGUGUGGGCAUGAAGAGGCUCGCCAUGCUGUGAGGAAGCCCAUGUGGGCAUGAAGAGGCUCGCGUGGCGAGGAGCAGAGAGGCCCCGCCUCCAGCCCCCGCUGAGCUCCCAGACCAGGGAGGAAGUGGCCUUUAAUCAAGCUGUCCUGAACCGAGCUGUCCCAACUGGGGCCGCACAGAGCACACAGCUGCCUUGCGAGCCCCGCCCAAAUGGCAGAUGUCAACAUACGUCAGAGGCUGAACAAAGGAAUGUACGCACCUGGCGAGCAGUCUGCCCUGAAUGGAGCCCUUCCACCUGACCCAGGGAGAAGGUGUGUGCCCGGCCUUCCUCCCACUCCUCCCCCUGUGAAGGGCUGCCCAUCCGACAGCUGUGCGAACGGAAGGCCUGAACCACUGAGUGACUCCAUCACCCAACAAACUGGCCUCAGAGACACGAGGCAGCGAAGGUCUCCUGAUCCCGCUUGAACCCAAGAAUCCUGGAAUGACUAAUCUCCGACCUGGUGCCCGCAUGCCCCAGGCGCUGGGGACUGACUCAGUGUCCCUCUUGUGGAGCUGACAUUGCAGAGAGGAGACAUGGACGUGAAACAGAGAGAAGGCAGGUGGUGGUAAGCGCGAAGGUAACGGGGAAAGGGGUGGCCAUUUAAAUGGGGUGGCCCAGGAAGGCCUCUGUGAGGUCAUGAGCAGAGGCCUGAGCAAAGAGGAGGCGUGAACCACGUGGACAUGUGGAGGAAGAACUUUCCAGGCCACGAGAACAGUGAGUGCAAAGGCCCUGAGGCGAGAGAGGCUGCACGUUCUGGAAACAGCAAGGAGGCCCGUGUGGCUGGAGUGGGUGAGACGAGUGGCCACAUGGUGCAGGGCUCCGGAACCCCCUCACAGCUGUGGCGUUUACUCUGCGAGAGAUGAAAGGGCAAUUACUUCUCACAUCAUUUGUCUGCGGAAGCUGUGGCCACCCCCCACCCUACCAGCCCGGCUGAGGACAACAAGUUCAUCUUUGUCAAUUAAUUAUUGAACGGUUUAUUUCGCACUGGGAGGUGAUAAGAGAAGGGAAAGCCGUGUUGUGAAAUCAUCACCGUAAUUACACAGACGCUGCCCCAGCGCCCAGCAUCGCAACCCCUCCCCGCCCCCCCCCCCCAGGUGCCUGUGGGGGAGGGAGAGAACAAAGGGCAGGCCUGCUGGGCAGGAGACCUAUCUGUGGCCUUCGGGCAGCCCCUGGGCCUCUGUGGCUGUGAUCAACAAACACACCCCUACAGAGCUUUCAGAGUCCAAGUUGAAGUGGGGAGGGGGAGACAGGGAAUUACGCAGGGCUGGAAGCAUGGUGUGCAGGUCAUGCUUCUUUGUCUGGGAUGAUCAGAAUGCGGGAAGGCUCAGACUACCCUUGUAGUCCUUCCCAUCCUAGGCUAGGAGUCCCGUAGCAUGCACAAAUUGUGGCUGCGUGAUAAAGGGUCUCUGAUACUCUAGCAAAAAGCCCUUUCCUUCCCUCACUCUAGUAACAAUGGCCCACAAAGCUCAGAGCAUCUGUCCCAGGCAGCCUGCCCCAUUACUCCUCACCUCAUCUCCCCUUUGCUCACUCCACUGCAGCCACACUGGUCUC